rnacentral:tRNA from 1 species
GAGGGAGAGGUUAAUCCGGCAAGAACUGCUAACUCUCGCACCUGAGUCUAAAACCUCAGCUCCCUU